rnacentral:tRNA from 1 species
GGGAAGGUAGCUCAAUGGUAGAGUACUUGCCUUGCAUGCAUGAGGCCCUGGGUUUGAUUCCUCAGCACCA